GCCCGAAACAAGCCCACAACCCCCCCCACCUUCCACGAAACAAAACAAAACAUUUUUUUCAUUUAGUAACGGUGACUAAAAAAUAAGUAAGAGCUAUAAAUUCAGUACCGUAAGGGAAACAUGAAAUAAAAAUGAAAACCCAAGCACAGCACAGCAAAGAUUAAAUCUUGUACCUUUUGCAUCAUGGUCUAGCUAGUUUUACCAAGCAAAACGAACUUUAAGUUUGACCCCCCGAAACUAGGCGAGCUACUUCAGAACAGCUUACAGAGCCAACCCAUCCCUGUUACAAAAGGGCGGGAAGAUUCUGAAGUAGAGGUGACACACCCAUCGAGCCUAGAGAUAGCUGGUUAUUCAGAAAUAGGAUCUAAGUCCAACUUUAAGUUCUUUUAGUCAUACUAGACAUACCCUCAACUUAAAAGCCAUUCAAAUAAGGUACAGCCUAUUUGAGCAAGGAAACAGCCUACAAUACCGGGUAAUGAUCCCUACAAACGUGGCUAAGUAGGCCCAAAAGCAGCCAACUUCUUAAAAGCGUCCAAGCUUUCCCACUAUCACUUACUGAUCCCCCAAUUAAUGCCAAACCCACAACCACUACUGAAUGAUCCCAUACCCCCCAUGGGAGCCAUUAUGCUAGAACUAGUAACAAGAAGAAGAACUUCUCCUAAAUGCAAGCGUAAGCCAAAAUGAACCAAUCACUGGCACUCACCGCUUCAACCCGCAGUAUUAACCCCCGAGAAAACCCUACUGCCAACAGCGUCAACCUUACACCAGGGCACUUCAGGAAAGAUUAAAAAAGGUGGAAGGAACUCGGCAAACACCUGCCCCGCCUGUUUACCAAAAACAUCGCCUCUUGACCAACCAUAAGAGGUCCAGCCUGCCCGGUGACUAAUAGUUAAACGGCCGCGGUACCCUAACCGUGCGAAGGUAGCACAAUCACUUGUUCUCUAAAUCAGGACUAGUAUGAACGGCCUCACGAGGGCUAUACUGUCUCCCCCCUUUAAUCAGUGAAACUGAUCUCCCCGUGAAGAAGCGGGAAUAUCCAAAUAAGACGAGAAGACCCCAUGGAACUUUAAACUUGUACCACUGCCCGCAAUACACCAUACCAACUAAGGCAUCAUGACUACUAGUCUUUCGGCUGGGGCGACCACGGAGAAAAAUUAAACCUCCACGAUGAAAAAGGACACCCUCCCGCAAUUCCAGAGCUACUGCUCUAAAAAUCAACAAAUUGACAUAAUUGACCCAAACACUUUGAUCAACGAACCAAGCUACCCUGGGGAUAACAGCGCAAUCCAUUUCAAGAGACCCCAUCGACAAAUGGGCUUACGACCUCGAUGUUGGAUCAGGGUAUCCUGGUGGUGCAGCCGCUACCAAAGGUUCGUUUGUUCAAC
rnacentral:rRNA from 1 species